CGCGAUCUAUCCUGCUAGUUAUCAUUCACUCAUUCUUUCAGUCGUUUGGGAUUGGUUGGGCCCCACGGUUUGCCAGGAGUCUUAGCAGAGGCUGCGGAAGGAGAGCAGAGAAGCCGGCAGAUGCAGCCGCUGCUCUCGCGAGAUCUUAUGUUUGAAGGGACGCGGACGGAUUGAGAAGCAACUGCGUAAGGACGUAUGCAGGCGAGGCCUUCACGUAGCUCAUGAAGAUCAAGGGAAACUUCCUGGCGGAGGGGGCCCCUAAGCUGAGACUGAAGAGUGCAGAGGAUGACGAUGCCAGUGAUCAUGACCAGGUGAGUGCCCUCCUCUGGAGUCUGUGUCUCCACCUGAGGAUAAGGGGUUGGGGGUCUGGAGGGGGAAGACAGAUGCUUGCUGGUCUCCUUACUAACUGCAUUACCAAGGUUUGCAUCUCAGUUAUCUUAAGAAACAAAGCUGCAGAUCCCUGCCGUGACUUGGGGACAGUGCAAUGCUAGGAGAAAAGUCAAUAAUAGUUACACCAGUGAUCAUAAGAGCA
rnacentral:lncRNA from 1 species